AUCGCUUCUCGGCCUUUUGGCUCAGAUCAAGUGUAGUAUCUGUUCUUAUCAGUUUAAUAUCUGAUACGUCCCCCAUCGGGGGACUACAUAUUAAAUGGAUUUUUCGAACAGGGAGUCGGAAAUGGGGCUUGCUCCGUCCGCUCCACGCAUCGACCCGGUAUUGCAGUACCCUCCGGGAACGGUGCAAAACAC
rnacentral:snRNA from 1 species